rnacentral:other from 1 species
AUUUUCACUGCUGCACCGAGGGCACACGUAUCUUCAGCGGGACUUGGAAUUCCUGGAGAAUUCAAUUGCCUUUGUGAAAGCUGGCAUAAUUUCUUUAAAUUUCAUCUCUUAGUUUCCCAUUUUGUUGUUUCAGAAAGAUAUCAAGAAACC